rnacentral:rRNA from 1 species
AUAUCAGUCAUGCAUAGCAUAUCAAUAAGCGGAGGAAAAGAAACUAACAAGGAUUCCCUUAGUAACGGCGAGUGAAGCGGGAAGAGCUCAAAUUUGAAAUCUUCAAGGUUUUACCUUGACGAAUUGUAGUUUAAAGAAGUGUUUUCUGUUGAAGUUUUGGUAAAAGUUCUCUGGAAUAGGACAUCAUAGAGGGUGAGAAUCCCGUAUUUGACCAUUACUUUCAGCUUUGUGAUACACUUUCAAAGAGUCGGAUUGUUUGGGAAUGCAGUCCUAAAAUGGGUGGUAAAUUUCAUCUAAAGCUAAAUAUUGGCGAGAGACCGAUAGCGAACAAGUACCGUGAGGGAAAGAUGAAAAGAACUUUGAAAAGAGAGUUAAACAGUACGUGAAAUUGUCAAAAGGGAAGCGUUUGACACCAGUGUUGUUUUCUCGAAAAUCAAUUAAAAAGAGUUGGAUUUUGUGUUGUAUUGACUUUAUCAGGCUUUCUUCACUCUUUUCCAGCUUUUUUUAAUGCACUUUUCGUUUAACAAGUCAACAUCAGUUUCUUUUGUUGUAAAAAGGUCAUUGGAAGGUGGCUUUCUCUUCGGAGAAAGUGUUUAUAGCCUUUGACUCAUGCAAUCGGAGAGACUGAGGUCUGCAGCGUAGAUCCUUCGGGGUUAGAUACAUUUGUGCUAAGUUAUAGCUUUUCAUAGACAACUUGUUGACUAUGUUUAGUCUUGUAGCUUACUCGCUUAUGCUAUUUUACCUACGCUUAGGAUGUUGAACUCUAUCACACACAG